GAUGAACGCUGGCGGCGUGCCUAAUACAUGCAAGUCGAGCGAAGCGGGGACGGGUGAGUAACACGUGGAUAACCUCCUAUAAGACUGGGAUAACUUCGGGAAACCGGAGCUAAACCGGAUACUUAUCGAUGGAUCCGCGCCGCAUUUGCUAGUUGGUAAGGUAACGGCUUACCAAGGCAACGAGGCGUCGCCGACCUGAGAGGGGGAUCGGCCACACUGGAACUGAGACACGGGCCAGACUCCUACGGGAGGCAGCAGUAGGGAAUCUUCCGCAAUGGGCGAAAGGCUGACGGAGCAACGCCGCGUGAGUGAUGAAGGUCUUCGGAUCGGAAAACUCUGUUAUUAGGGAAGCGGUACCUAAACAGAAAGCCACGGCUAACUACGUGCCAGCAGCCGCGGUAAUAC
rnacentral:rRNA from 1 species